rnacentral:rRNA from 1 species
GACAUCAGGAGGUUAGUGCAAUGGCAUAAGCCAGCUUGACUGCGAGCGUGACGGCGCGAGCAGGUGCGAAAGCAGGUCAUAGUGAUCCGGUGGUUCUGAAUGGAAGGGCCAUCGCUCAACGGAUAAAAGGUACUCCGGGGAUAACAGGCUGAUACCGCCCAAGAGUUCAUAUCGACGGCGGUGUUUGGCACCUCGAUGUCGGCUCAUCACAUCCUGGGGCUGAAGUAGGUCCCAAGGGUAUGGCUGUUCGCCAUUUAAAGUGGUACGCGAGCUGGGUUUAGAACGUCGUGAGACAGUUCGGUCCCUAUCUGCCGUGGGCGCUGGAGAACUGAGGGGGGCUGCUCCUAGUACGAGAGGACCGGAGUGGACGCAUCACUGGUGUUCGGGUUGUCAUGCCAAUGGCACUGCCCGGUAGCUAAAUGCGGAAGAGAUAAGUGCUGAAAGCAUCUAAGCACGAAACUUGCC